GGCACCGUAGUUCAAUGGAUAGAAUAGAAGUUUCCUAAACUUUAGAUGUGGGUUCGAUUCCCGCCGGAGCCA
rnacentral:tRNA from 1 species